rnacentral:rRNA from 1 species
CAGUCGCCGCGGUAAUACAGAGGGUGCGAGCGUUAAUCGGAUUUACUGGGCGUAAAGCGUGCGUAGGCGGCUUCUUAAGUCGGAUGUGAAAUCCCUGAGCUUAACUUAGGAAUUGCAUUCGAUACUGGGAAGCUAGAGUAUGGGAGAGGAUGGUAGAAUUCCAGGUGUAGCGGUGAAAUGCGUAGAGAUCUGGAGGAAUACCGAUGGCGAAGGCAGCCAUCUGGCCUAAUACUGACGCUGAGGUACGAAAGCAUGGGGAGCAAACAGGAUUAGAUACCCCGGUAGUCCCUGUCUCUUAACA